rnacentral:rRNA from 1 species
AGUGAACGCUGGCGGUAGGCCUAACGCAUGCAAGUCGAACGGCAGCACAGGAGAGCUUGCUCUCUGGGUGGCGAGUGGCGGACGGGUGAGGAAUACAUCGGAAUCUACUCUGUCGUGGGGGAUAACGUAGGGAAACUUACGCUAAUACCGCAUACGACCUACGGGUGAAAGUGGGGGACCGCAAGGCCUCACGCGAUUGAAUGAGCCGAUGUCGGAUUAGCUAGUUGGCGGGGUAAAGGCCCACCAAGGCGACGAUCCGUAGCUGGUCUGAGAGGAUGAUCAGCCACACUGGAACUGAGACACGGUCCAGACUCCUACGGGAGGCAGCAGUGGGGAAUAUUGGACAAUGGGCGCAAGCCUGAUCCAGCCAUACCGCGUGAGUGAAGAAGGCCCUCGGGUUGUAAAGCUCUUUUGUUGGGAAAGAAAUCCAGCCGGUUAAUACCUGGCUGGGAUGACGGUACCCAAAGAAUAAGCACCGGCUAACUUCGUGCCAGCAGCCGCCGUAAGAC